CGCGUAGGCGGACUUUCAAGUCAGGGGUGAAAUCCCGAGGCUCAACCUCGGAACUGCCUUUGAUACUGUAAGUCUUGAGUCCGAGAGAGGUGAGUGGAAUUCCUAGUGUAGAGGUGAAAUUCGUAGAUAUUAGGAAGAACACCAGUGGCGAAGGCGGCUCACUGGCUCGGUACUGACGCUGAGGUGCGAAAGCGUGGGAGCAAACA
rnacentral:rRNA from 1 species